rnacentral:tRNA from 1 species
GCGCCCGUAGCUCAUCUGGAUAGAGCAACAGCCUUCUAAGCUGUGGGUAAUAGGUUCGAGUCCUAUCGGGCGUGCAA